rnacentral:rRNA from 1 species
AUGGUGGCCCUUGAGGAAGAUGUGGAAGACUCGAUUAUUUGGAAGUUCACUAAGGAUGGGAUUUAUUCUGCUUCAUCGGCAUACAAGGCACAAUUUGAAGGUCUCAUAUCCUCUGAUCUUGUCAAGUCCGUGUGGAGGGUCUGGGCUCCCCCGAGGUGCAAAUUUUUUGCUUGGCUCGUUCUUCAAAACAGAAUCUGGACAUCAGACUGCUUAAUCCGUCGUGGAUGGCCCAACUGCGGCUUGUGCCCUCUUUGUAAGCAAGCACAGGAGUCCGCUGCUCACCUACUCUUCCAAUGCCGCUUCACAUUGCGCAUUUGA